CUUUGUCUGCCAUACCAGAUAGACCUGGCCCAAGUCACAGCUCAUCCUGGCAAACCAUCCCAGCCAGCAGAGUAGGCUGACUGCAGCCCUUUGUUAGCAAAGCACUGGUCAUUUCCUAAGCAGCACAGAAUGCUGCUGCAUGCUUUUAAACAUUUUUUUUCCUCACAGCCACCUACAUUGAAGGGAAAGGGAUAUAUUUACAUAAGUUGAAUAUGUGGAUAAAAGAUAAAAGUCAUGAAACAAGUUCUUGUACUAGUAUAAGUACUAUUCAUAGCCCAAAUUCAUUCCAAAGGAUUUUCUUCAUUCCAAGAGGACAAAGCAAGGAAAUGGAAAUAUAAGUUGGAAGGAAAUGUGGAGAAGGCUUAAAAUAGGAGUAACACCAAGGAUAAAAAUGUCAAGUCAAAACUGCUGUGUUGCUGAUUUUCCUUGGAAAACUGCAAGGAUUCUAACUACAACCAGUGGAAUCUCAAGUAAUAAGCCAUUUUCCCUUUUUUUUUUCCCACGGAAAGAUGCAAUGUCAAAAAUGAGAAUUUGGAACUUUACACAGCUCUUAGAGGAGGUUUAUUUCAGUGUCUUUUCUCUCAUGGGUAAAGACUUAUAAAAUUUUGAAUUUUUAUU